rnacentral:rRNA from 1 species
GUCCACGCCAUAAACGAUGAGGACUAGACGUUGGAAGGGUAAGCCUUUCAGUGUCGUAGCUAACGCGCUAAGUCCUCCGCCUGGUGAGUACGGCCGCAAGGUUGAAACUCAAAGGAAUUGACGGGGACCCCGCACAAGCGGUGGAGCAUGUGGUUUAAUUCGAUGCAACGCUAAGAACCUUACCUGGUCUUGACAUCCAUGGAAUCCCGCAGAGAUGUGGGAGUGCCGUAAGGAACCAUGAGACAGGUGCUGCAUGGCUGUCGU